GACGAACCGUCCUAACGUUGUUCGGAAUCACUGGGCUUAAAGGGCGCGUAGGCGGCCUUGAAAGUCGGGGGUGAAAUCCCACGGCCUAACCGUGGAAGUGCCUCCGAUACUGCAAGGCUCGAGGGAGGUAGGGGCAGCGGGAACUUCCGGUGGAGCGGUGAAAUGCGUUGAUAUCGGAAGGAACGCCGGUGGCGAAAGCGCGCUGCUGGACCUCUGCUGACGCUGAGGCGCGAAAGCCAGGGGAGCAAACGGG
rnacentral:rRNA from 1 species